GACAGAGGUUGCAAGCGUUGUUCGGAAUUACUGGGCAUAAAGCGCGCGUAGGCGGUCCGCUAAGUCAUGUGUGAAAUCCCCCGGCUCAACCGGGGAAUGGCGCCUGAUACUGGCGGACUCGAGAUCGGUAGGGGUGAGUGGAACUCCAGGUGGAGCGGUGAAAUGCGUAGAUAUCUGGAGGAACACCGGUGGCGAAGCGACUCACUGGACCGACACUGACGCUGAGGCGCGAAAGCUAGGGUAGCAAACGGG
rnacentral:rRNA from 1 species